UACGUAGGGGGCAAGCGUUGUCCGGAAUCAUUGGGCGUAAAGAGCGUGUAGGCGGCCCGGUAAGUCCGCCGUGAAAGUCCAGGGCUCAACCCUGGAAUGCCGGUGGAAACUGCCGGGCUGGAGUCCGGAAGAGGCGAGUGGAAUUCCUGGUGUAGCGGUGAAAAUGCGCAGAUAUCAGGAGGAACACCAAUGGCGAAGGCAGCUCGCUGGGACGGUACUGACGCUGAGACGCGAAAGCGUGGGGAGCAAACAGG
rnacentral:rRNA from 1 species